rnacentral:rRNA from 1 species
ACGGCGAGUGAAGCGGGAACAGCUCAAAUUUGAAAUCUGGCCCUUGGGUCCGAGUUGUAAUUUGCAGAGGAUGCUUUUGGUGCGGUGCCUUCCGAGUUCCCUGGAACGGGACGCCUUAGAGGGUGAGAGCCCCGUACGGUUGGACACCAAGCCUAUGUAAAGCUCCUUCGACGAGUCGAGUAGUUUGGGAAUGCUGCUCAAAAUGGGAGGUAUAUUUCUUCUAAAGCUAAAUAUUGGCCAGAGACCGAUAGCGCACAAGUAGAGUGAUCGAAAGAUGAAAAGCACUUUGAAAAGAGGGUUAAAUAGCACGUGAAAUUGUUGAAAGGGAAGGAUUUAUGACCAGACUUUUUCUAGGGGGAUCAUCCGGUGUUCUCACCGGUGCACUUCCCCUAGUUGAGGCCAGCAUCGGUUUCUGUCGGGGGAUAAAAGCUUCGGGAAUGUGGCUCCCUCCGGGGAGUGUUAUAGCCCGUUGCAUAAUACCCUGACGGGGACCGAGGUUCGCGCAUUGCAAGGAUGCUGGCGUAAUGGUUAUUAAUCACCCGUCUUGAAACACGGACCAAGGAGUCGAACAUUUGUGCGAGUGUUUGGGUGUUAAACCCUCACGCGUAAUGAAAGUGAACGGAGGUGAGAGCCUUUCGGGGUGCAUCAUCGACCGAUCCUGAUGUCUUCGGAUGGAUUUGAGUAAGAGCAUUAAUGUUCGGACCCGAAAGAUGGUGAACUAUGCGUGGAUAGGGUGAAGCCAGAGGAAACUCUGGUGGAGGCUCGCAGCGGUUCUGACGUGCAAAUCGAUCGUCAAAUCUGCGCAUGGGGGCGAAAGACUAAUCGAACCAUCUAGUAGCUGGUUACCGCCGAAGUUUCCCUCAGGAUAGCAGUGUUGUGUUCAGUUUUAUGAGGUAAAGCGAAUGAUUAGGGACUCGGGGGCUAUUUAUUGCCUUCAUCCAUUCUCAAACUUUAAAUAUGUAAGAAGCCCUUGUUACUUUAUUGAACGUGGGCAUUCGAAUGUAUCAACACUAGUGGGCCAUUUUUGGUAAGCAGAACUGGCGAUGCGGGAUGAACCGAACGCGAGGUUAAGGUGCCAGAGUAGACGCUCAUCAGACACCACAAAAGGUGUUAGUACAUCUUGACAGCAGGACGGUGGCCAUGGAAGUCGGAAUCCGCUAAGGACUGUGUAACAACUCACCUGCCGAAUGUACUAGCCCUGAAAAUGGAUGGCGCUCAAGCGUCUCACCCAUACCUCGCCCUUAGGGUAGAAACGAUGCCCUAAGGAGUAGGCGGCCGUGGAGGUCAGUGACGAAGCCUA